rnacentral:sRNA from 2 species
AUUCUGCCCAAGCGGGGAAGGAUGAGAAGCUUCGACCAAGGUUCGACUUGAGCGCCAGCGAGAGAGCGUUGCCGCAGGCAACGACCCGAAGGGCGAAGCGCGCAGCGCUG